rnacentral:rRNA from 1 species
AUACGGAGGGUGCGAGCGUUGUUCGGAAUUAUUGGGCGUAAAGAGCAUGUAGGCGGUCUGUUAAGUCUGGUGUGAAAGCCCGGGGCUCAACCCCGGAAGUGCAUUGGAUACUGGCAGACUUGAGUAUGGGAGAGGAAAGCGGAAUUCCAAGUGUAGGAGUGAAAUCCGUAGAUAUUCGGAGGAACACCAGUGGCGAAGGCGGCUUUCUGGACCAAUACUGACGCUGAGAUGCGAAAGCGUGGGGAGCAAACAGGAUUAGAAACCCUUGUAGUCC